UCAAUAGAAAUUACUAUAUGUCGUAUAAUAUUGGGGAUAUGGCCCAAAAGUUUCUACCGAGCUGCCGUAAAUAGCUUGACUACGAGAUAUUUGGUUAGAAUC
rnacentral:ncRNA from 2 species